rnacentral:rRNA from 1 species
GAUGAAUGCUGGCGGCGUGCCUAAUACAUGCAAGUCGAGCGGUAAGGCCCUUCGGGUACACGAGCGGUGGACGGCUGAGUAACGCGUGGGAACAUGCCCCAAAGUGAGGGAUAACGCACCGAAAGGUGUGCUAAUACCGCAUAUGGUCUUCGGAUUAAAGGAUUUAUCCGCUUUGGGAGUGGCCCGCGUACGAUUAGAUUGUUGGUGAGGUAACGGCUCACCAAGUCGACGAUCGUUAACUGGUCUGAGAGGAUGAUCAGUCAGACUGGAACUGAGACACGGUCCAGACUCCUACGGGAGGCAGCAGUAAGGAAUCUUCCACAAUGGGCGAAAGCCUGAUGGAGCAACGCCGCGUGCAGGAUGAAGGCCCUCGGGUCGUAAACUGCUUUAUGAGUGAAGAAUAUGACGGUAACUCAUGAAUAAGCACCGGCUAACUAACGUGCCAGCAGCCGCGG